AUUUGGAGGGUCAGUGAUCAUUAAUGCUAAUGAAAUUCUAUGUUUAGAUCUCUCAUUUUCUAGAUGAUUUAAUUAAGAUAGUACACCAUAAAUAAUCACUUUUAAGCAUCUGAAACAUGUCUGUUGAUUUAUCAUUAGCAUUAUAAUUUGCAAAUGGUGACACUAUUGUUACCUGAACCCCUGAACCCCCGUUUUAGCCUGUGACUGACUGAGUUCUGCUGUAAUUAAUGCUGGUUGGCAGUCCCUGAGUCAACGAGGCUAGUGCCCAUUUUCUGUCAAUUGCUGCUAUGUCUGCUAUGUGGCCCCAGAGAAGUAACAUCUACAGCUAGACAGAUACAGCAUUGUAAUUUCCUAAUUUAUUCAAUAAACAGUCAGACGGAAACCACUGGAAACUUGACAUCGCUGUGUCUGCAUUGGAACACCAUGAGUGAGUUGCAACACUUUCUGAAUUACAGUUACACAACACUCCAGAGACGUUUACUAGGACAGGAUAUAUACUUGUACUGUAGUUCACUCAAAAAAGGACAUUUCUGUCAUCAUUUAGUACCUCUCCAAACCGGUCUGACUCUCUUUCUUCUGUGUAACACCUUUUAAGUCCAAGAAGAGCUUUUUGUGAGGAACAGUUCAUCCUAGGUUUGUGAACUGGAUCAAUUGAUUUUUUUGAAAAGACCUAGGAUCCCUUCAGCAAUUGUCAGAGGUGGAGGACUGUGAGAGAGUGAGUGGGGUGUGAUGGCGAAGAACAGAUGGAUCCAACCCUAGAGAACCUUUUCUGCUGCGGUGAGCUGGUAAACUCUGAAGCACUUGCUCUGAUUUGCAACCCCCAUGUGAAAAAUGUCCCCUGGCUUGGCAUCUCCAUGUUGAAGGCCACAGAAAUCCGUCCCAAUAUGGCUCCACAGCGAGACCUUGGUGCUGUGUCCUGUGAAUCCUGCCCGGAAUUGCUGUUUUAUUGAGGCAAUAUUCUCUCUAAAUAAUAAUCAGACUUUUAUUGCGUCGUUCAUGCUCGGAGCUGGGGGAGUUUCUUGCUCCAUUGCUUUAUUGUGCCCCAGUUGCUCUUUUCAGCUCUGUUCUCUAGUCUGAGGAAAAUCCGUAAGAGAAAAGCAUAUGUGUGAGCCUGUAUUCAUCAUUAUUUACCAUUUGAUCAGCUAAAGCAACUUGACUUUUUCCCCGCACCUCUCUCUUUUGUGUUUUGAUCAUAAUAAUUUAGGGAUUUCAAAAAUUUUCUAUGAAAAGUUGCUGUUCCCUGAAGACACAAUCCUAAAUGGCAUAUAAAGGUGAAAUUGGUCAUUUCAAAAGUUUUCGGAUGUAGACAUGCAAAACAAUUUGAAUUUCUGAUAAUGAAUCAGUGCUGGGUGCAUAAAUUCUGCUUAUUCUAAUUAUUCUAAAAUUGAAAUUGCAAAAUGUAACCCAUAGGAUUAUGUAAAGAUAAUAUAUGGUUGGUGUAAGAU
ensembl:lncRNA